rnacentral:lncRNA from 1 species
UUUAAUUGACCAAAUCCAUGCCAACUGUUCCACUAGCUAUUCCAAAAAUAUUUAAAAAAUUGUGUGUUUUGAUUGACCCACCUUAGGGAUCAGCGAUUACUAAAAUAUUAAAAAAUUGUAAAGGAAAAAUGCCUCAACAUCGAAUUAUGCCUUUUUAAACAUUGCCUUCUAGAGUUUGUCAGUUUGCUUUGAUGUACCACUGCAUGUUUGUAUCCAAUCUUCAAGAUAGUCCAUCAUUUCUUUCUAAAUAGGGCAGGAAGAACUUCAAUCGUAACUGAACUCCACAAAGAUUAGAAUAUCACGUUUUUCUUUGUGGAAACAAAGAAAGAAAUUGAGUUCAAAAUAGAUUUUUACAUUGGGUUAAAUCCACUGGUGGCCACCAAACUUUAUAUUUAGUGCCACCAAACUUUAUAUUUAAUGUCACCAUAACCACUCAGUUUGACUUUGUUUCAUCAUGGUUAUCCAACUUUAUAUUUAGUGCCAUCAUGACCAUUCAAUUUGGUUUUAUUUUACUAUGGCCACCCAACUUUAUAAAACGUUUCACCAAAACCACCUA